rnacentral:rRNA from 1 species
GAUGAACGCUGGCGGCGUGCUUAACACAUGCAAGUCGAACGAAGCACUUUAUUUGAUUUCCUUCGGGACUGAUUAUUUUGUGACUGAGUGGCGGACGGGUGAGUAACGCGUGGGUAACCUGCCUUGUACAGGGGGAUAACAGUUGGAAACGGCUGCUAAUACCGCAUAAGCGCACGGCAUCGCAUGAUGCAGUGUGAAAAACUCCGGUGGUAUAAGAUGGACCCGCGUUGGAUUAGCUAGUUGGUGAGGUAACGGCCCACCAAGGCGACGAUCCAUAGCCGACCUGAGAGGGUGACCGGCCACAUUGGGACUGAGACACGGCCCAAACUCCUACGGGAGGCAGCAGUGGGGAAUAGUGCACAAUGGGCGAAGGCCUGAUGCAGCGACGCCGCGUGAGCGAAGAAGUAUUUCGGUAUGUAAAGCGCUAGCAGCAGGGAAGAUAAUGACGGUACCUGACUAAGAAGCACCGGCUAAAUACGUG